GUUUCCGUAGGUGAACCUGCGGAAGGAUCAUUCAUAAUAAGUGUUUUAUGGCACUUUUUUAAAUCCAUAUCCACCUUGUGUGCAAUGUCAGGGUUGACUUUUCUCUCGAGAGGAUCAACCCCAAACAUCAACUAUAUCUCAACUCUUUGUCUGAAAAAUAUUAUGAAUAAAACAAUUCAAAAUACAACUUUCAACAACGGAUCUCUUGGCUCUC
rnacentral:misc_RNA from 1 species